rnacentral:rRNA from 1 species
UACGUAGGUGGCAAGCGUUGUCCGGAUUUACUGGGCGUAAAGAGCGCGCAGGCGGUCGUUCAAGUCGCGUGUGAAAGCCCCCGGCUCAACUGGGGAGGGUCGUCGGGGACCGCACCGCUUGAGGGCGGUAGGGGCUGGUGGAAUGCCUGGUGUAGUGGUGAAAUGCGUAGAGAUCAGGCGGAACACCCGUGGCGAAGGCGGCCAG